GCCCAUUCUGAAGAACUGUCGCCCUGCUACUGGCUUGGUUCUUGGGACAGCCCCCGUUUGAGAGCUGCUCGUGUGGGCUCUGGAAUUUGCUGCCACAUCUCUUCCCUGGUUCAUAGCCUGGUCCAGGCUCAGACUCAGCAACAGAACUUAGACCCUGGGUCUUGGUUUACAUUAGAAUAUGAGGCAGAUGACAAGAGUGACCGUGCUCCUGACCUUGGGUACUUUGAGUCUUGCUAAGACCUCCCAGCCCAUCUUCAUUGACUCAUACGAAGGACAAGAGGUGAACAUAUCCUGUAACCACACCACGAUAGCUACAAAUGACUAUAUCUUCUGGUAUCGACAUUUCCCCAACCAGGGACCACAAUAUAUCAUUCAAGGAUAUAAGACAAACGUGGAAAAUGAAGUGGCAUCUCUGUUCAUUCCUACUGACAGGAAGGUCAGCACCCUGAGUCUGCCCCGGGCUUCCCUGAGAGACAGCGCUGUGUACUACUGCAUCGUGAGGAUGCACACUGAGACAGAUGAGGCUGCACCUGUGCAGUAUCCCCGGGUGGGGUGGGAGUCACAGCCCAGUGGAUCCCCAAAGUAG